rnacentral:tRNA from 1 species
UAGGGAGACCUAAUCCAUUUAGAAAUUCCGAGCAAUUUUCAUUGCUAGAAACUAAAUUGGUCUAACCUAGGUCGGUCGCAGACUUGAAGUAAAGCUUUCAAACUAUGAUUUGGUUCGAUAAGGGCUAUUAGCUCAGGUGGUUAGAGCGCACCCCUGAUAAGGGUGAGGUCCCUGGUUCGAGUCCAGGAUGGCCCACCUGAAGGAAGUCAAAAAUCAAAAGUCAAAAGUCAAAAUUAAAUAUUUUUGAAGCAUGACUAGAAAUUUUGAGUUCUCUUUGGGGGUUUAGCUCAGUUGGUAGAGCGCCUGCUUUGCAAGCAGGAUGUCAGCGGUUCGAGUCCGCUAACCUCCACAUUGGAAAAAAAACAGCACCUAACUAUAAAAGUUAGACUGCUGGGUGAGAUUCCAGCCAGAACCUUGAAAACUGCAUAAGAGAACGAGAAAAAGCAGGCAGACACAGACAUGAGAGUGUUUCGUGAAAGCAAAGAAAAAUUGU